GACAUCUCAAUCCCAUAACAGCACUUUUUGGUGAAACUUUUGGCGAAUCCAAUUGCCAAAUAAAUUGAAGGUGUUUACGUGGUGCCUUUUAAAAGAGAGAUUACCAUGCAAUGAGCUGCUUCACCAAAGAAUUCCUCAUAUGGCUCCAGAAUGUCAGUACCAUGGGGAGAAGGAAUCUUUGUAUCAUCUGUUCCUUGCAUGUCCAAAGGGAAUGGCAGUCUGGAUUAAUUCGCCAAUCAAGAUCCGUUCUUCCUUAUUAGUAAAUAUAAAUAUGAUGAAUUAUUGGACAGAAAUGAGUUCAGGUUUGGCUCAUCAUCCGGAUGGUGUAGG
rnacentral:misc_RNA from 1 species